AGUGACUUCGCCGCUGCUGUAGUUCCCCGGCUGGAUGCGGUGACUGGUGCCAGUGCUCAGGCGCCCGCUGCCCUUGACCUCCCGCCCCGCGAGCCCUAACUCAGCGCAGGAGGACCGGCUGCCGCCGCCGCCGCCGCCAGGAGGUAGAUUGGGAAGUGGAGCUGGCCGUGGUCAUUGGAAAGAAAGGCAAGCACAUCAAGUGGCUGCUGGGAAAAACCUUCGACACCUUCUGCCCUCUGGGCCCUGCCUUGGUGACCAAGGACAGUGUAGCAGAUCCACACAACUUAAAGAUCUGCUGUCGAGUGAAUGGGGAAGUGGUCCAGAGCAGCAACACCAACCAGAUGGUAUUCAAGACAGAGGACCUGAUAGCCUGGGUGUCCCAGUUUGUUACCUUUUACCCAGGGGAUGUCAUCCUGACUGGGACCCCCCCACCUCCACCCAGGUGUCGGUGUAUUCAGGAAACCUCCUGUCUUUCUCAAGGUCUCUGAAGGUCCAGACAGCACUGAUGGCGAGCUUUGGGUCCGCACACUCUGGAAAGAAGAGAGAAGUGAAGGCUCUAGGUAGGGAGAACAGAGAGCCACUGGGCACAGGCUUCUCUCCUCUUGUUUAAAGAAGCCCAGGGAGGGAUAGAGCUCUGACUGGACAGAAGACUGUACUCUGCAGCCUGCCUUCCUAGAGUUGGGUUGUCACUGUCCUGCAGGGGGCAGCAGCCACCAGCAAACACCACUGCCUGCAGGAGCCUGGGCUGACUGGUUGGGACUCACCGAAGAUCCCUUCUUCCUGGGCGGUGGCCUGCAGGAACUGGAACAGCUGCUCUGUGUAGCCCAACUCUGCAGAAGAGAGAAGACCUAGACCUGGCACCCAGCACAGACACAGCCUGCCUCGAGGACUGCAAGGGAACAAGGGCCUCACCAGUAUCGGGCAGCUGGCCCUGGCGGAGGAAGGCGGCAGCCUGUGCAAAGGCCUUGAGCAGCGGGCUGAGCAGGCGGCAGAGGAAAAGAAAGAAAUCUGGGCAGUGUGACUGCUGGCUGAGCUGGAGGGGACAGGCCGGGGUGAGUGCAGCUCCCCACCGCCUCCCUACCACCUCCCUCCAGGGGCAGCUUUUUGAAACACACCCUGAAGUACCGGCCGUCAGCCUCUCCGAAGUCAUCACUGUCACUAUCAGUAAAGUCCCCACUCGGUUUCCACAGCA
rnacentral:lncRNA from 1 species